rnacentral:rRNA from 1 species
AUACGUAGGGGGCGAGCGUUGUCCGGAAUGAUUGGGCGUAAAGGGCGCGUAGGCGGCCCGGUAAGUCUGGAGUGAAAGUCCUGUUUUUAAGAUGGGAAUUGCUUUGGAUACUGUCGGGCUUGAGUGCAGGAGAGGUAAGUGGAAUUCCCAGUGUAGCGGUGAAAUGCGUAGAGAUUGGGAGGAACACCAGUGGCGAAGGCGACUUACUGGACUGUAACUGACGCUGAGGCGCGAAAGUGUGGGGAGCAAACAGGAUGAGAUACCCUGGUAGUCCACACUGUAAACGAUGAAUGCUAGGUGUAGGGGGUAUCGACCCCUUCUGUGCCGCAGUCAACACAAUAAGCAUUCCGCCUGGGGAGUACGGCCGCAAGGUUGAAACUCAAAGGAAUUGACGGGG